rnacentral:lncRNA from 1 species
CAAUCUCAUGUUGCCUGUCUUGUAGGCAAUACUAAUGGCAUCGUAUAAUCUUUUGGUUUGAUUUAUGUUACAGGAUCACACAUGCUGAUUCCAGGGAUACUUUUUUAACCACCAGGUCCUUUUAUUCCAGGCACUCAAGAUAGCAUGGCGCAGCCACAUUCACUGAGUGAACUUGAGCAAGGGCAAAGUCUCCAUUCUGGGGAAUAUUGUUUUGUCAAGGGUAUAGACAUUGCACCUUCUGAGCCCUUCACAUGUGCAUCGGGCUCGUUGAACUUUCAGUCAGAGGAUGCUCACGAACCUGCACAAGUGAAUGAGUGUGUGGAGGACAAAACCAAAUCACUUAGCAAGAAAGAAAAGAAACGAUUGAAGAAAGAAAGACAAUUGCUUGAAAUGAAGAAACAGAAAGAGUCUCCAAGGGAUGCAGAUUCGUGCAGCAGUUACAGUACACCUUUGCCAGUUGUGGCAAGUGGAAUUGAAGGUGCUGGUGAUGGAAAAGAAGACUCUUUGGUUUUAAAAAAGGAAGGAGAAAGCUUAGAGUCUCAGUUCAGUGUUUUGGGAGAUGCGGAGACUCAACCUGUUGAACCCCCCACAGUUUCCCAGAGGUCAAUGGACUUCACAUCCAAAGUUCCGGAAGAGGUGCUGGAGGACAAAGUUGAUGAAAUGACGGAACUCAGCAAGAAAAAACAGAAACAGGAGACCUGGAAAAAAAACAACAAGGAAAGAAUACGCAAAAGAAAACAAAAGGCUGAGAAUGGAGGGCAUUCAUCUGAUUGUCUCAUGACUUCACCUGCACUCAACAAGUGUGGGACAGACACAGGGAAGGGAGGAGAUAAAUUCAAGAAAGGACAAAAUAACAAUACCUCUGGAGGAUUUCCCACUGAAGGAAAACCAAAUGAUGCAGUGUUUAAACAGUGCGAAGGGCAAAGCUCACUUGGAGAAACGAAGACUGAGGUUUCUUCGAAUUGUCAAACCAAGGCUGGAGGACCUUCUGAGAAUAUCCCUGAGAGUAAACAAAGACAAACAAAACCUAACAAAUCGAAACCUGCAGACCCUGCAAGCAUUGCAGCUGGGCUGAACAAGGGCAAGGCAGAGGAGAAGAGUGAUGACCACAAAACUUUAUCUUCAUCAGACAAGUCUACCAAAGGUGGAACUUGUUCCCAUGGGGCAUUAUACAGAUUAAAACGUUUGUUUAAGAUACUAACAAAAUGCAAGCUGUGCAAUGUGAUUAAAACUUUGAUAAAGAGGGUUUUAUAUCACAACUUUUGACUUUUUCUUUAGUGUACAAAGUCAAGACUCGUGGCAGAGCUAAAACACAGAAUGGACCAGGACGCAACAGAAUAAUACAAACAGCAGAAAAAUAAUGGGUGGUAGUGGAGAGGGGGUUGUAUACACCAACAGCAGGGAUGAGGGAUGAAAAAAGAGG